rnacentral:lncRNA from 1 species
UGUGAGGAAAGGAUCUCCAAAAACACCAAAGAUUUGGUGUCUCUAAGUCUCCAUACCAAGCAUGAGGUGUGAAGAAGAAAUUGAUGACUUAGAGAAGAAAAGAUUGCUAGCUAUCUCUUCCCUAAGUGGCUGACCUCUUUUAGAGAAAAGGAGAGAAAGUGUUUCUCUUCUUUGUCUCAAGAAAACCCUAAUGAGGUAAAAGCUAUAAAGAUGCUUUUAUAUCUCUUUUCUUAGGUGAGUGGCGAACUUGCAAUUAAGUAAAACUUCCCACUUCCCUCACUAUGGCCGGCCAUCUUAAGUGAUUGGGCUAUUUGUCCAUAUUUGUUUUAGUUGUCAUACAACUUAAACAUAAUGGACCUAGUGGACCAAACCCUUUUGGACCCCGAAGCCCAAAACUAACUUAAAAGCCCAAUACGAACCUUUCGUAUAAUUAAUCAACUAAUUAAUUAACCUUGAUCAUUUUCAAUUAAGCCAUUUAAUUGCUUAUCCAUUUCAUUUAUAUUUCUUCACUUUCAUCCUUACUCGGUGUACGAUCCAUUAGGUUCCAAUUAGCGAGGCAGUGGGCGAUUGUUACUCUUAACAAUCGAUUGUGAAUUGAAACUUCAUUUCAAUUCUCCUUUUGAUUAAGAUUAGUGUUUGCUAAUCUUCAGGGCUUCCACAAACCAUGAGUGACACCUAGCAGCAUGUCAUGGUUACCCAAGCCAAAUAGAAUUGGUUCGAGAACCUAUCCAGUUACAAUUACAAUGCAAUACGGUCAUUCUCUAAUACAAUACUCUUAAUCACAUUGUUUGAGUGAUAGUUUGUUUCAUGUCUACUAUCCAAUGUAAUACUUCUCUAUAUGAUUCAAUUGAAUAUGAUUUGGAACAUACUUCCUAAGUCAUAUUCGUAUGCUUUGGCCAAAGACUCCCGAAUCAUAUCUUAGAGUAUUCUCCUUCCACCAUGGGAGGUUAGAGAUCCCUUAUUGUGCAUUCAUAUGCCUACAUGACGAGAUAGCUUGAUCACUCAUAUAUUUCAUACAUUUAUACCAUCCAUUUCUAAAGUAUUUGUAAUGCUUUUGUGUUAAAAUUAUGGCAUUUUACCUUAUCUUGUGUUAAUGUACAGUUAAUUUUGUGUUAGCAUUGUUUUCACAGAAAUAAUGGAAUGAUGGAGGAAUAAAAGAAACAAAAGAAAAAGAAAAAAAAAUAUAAAGAAAGCAAGAAGUGGAGGACUAACGGAAAGCAGAGAAAAAAGAAACAGAAAAUAAAUGAAAUGGGAGACACGGGUGGAUGGCAUGCUGGCAGAAAAAGAAUAAAGAGAGAGGUGAGGGCAGAGAGGAGCGGGCGGCCUUGCGGAAAGAAGGAGAAGAAAGGCUGCCCUUGCAGCCUUGAAAGGUCAGAAGCAGGAAAUAAAAGAAAUAAAAGAAAGGAGAAGCAGAGAGCUGCCUGGCGGCAGUAGAAAACCGAGUAGGGGCGGACUGGGAGACUGACAGAAGUCAGAAGGCAGGGCAGUGAGAGGUCAAAGGGAGAGUAGGUCAGAGAAGUAGAACAAGACUGGCAGACAAAGAAAAAGAAACGCUGCCCUUGGCAGCGUGAGAAAGGGAGAGAGAGAUAGGGAGGCUGCCAGCCAGAGGUCAGAGAGGGCAGAGACCAGCAGAAACGGGAGCAACACAGAGCAAAGUUUCACUCCAUUUUUCUUGGUUUUAUCUUCUCAAACCCAUGUUUUACUUUUGGUUUAAUUUGAUAAUAAUGUGUAACUAAAUUUAUUUUGGCUAGAGGUUAAUUCAAAGCCAUGGAUAUAUUUGUAAUAUGAAUUGAUUACCUUCAGUUGUGAUUUCUGAGUUGUGAUUUAAUUUGCUUAACUG